rnacentral:misc_RNA from 1 species
GUAGAAAUGUUACACUCUCAUGGGAGUGGGACUGAAACUAUCUCUUUUUAUCUUUUAGGUUUCUUGGAGGAACAAUGAGAAGGGAGGGUUGGGAGAAAGAGUAAACAAAAACAUGAUAUCAUAAAUUAUACAUUUUUUUUAAAUACUAAAUUAGUAACACAUCAUCUAGGGGUAGAAAUAUAAUAAAUUAGUUGUGGAAGAAGUGAGAAAGGAAAGAGAGAGAGACCUAAAAUAACGAGAAAAGUAGUAUUGAAAAAUUUACAAUUUCUGAAUAUUGAUGCAAAAUUGGUCU